AUCCUUCAAAACUUUUAAAAUAUUUUAUUUAUCUUUACUUAUUUUUUUUUUCUUUCCAAUAUACCCCUCAUAUGUUUCUCUAUUAUUCCAAAAUACUUCUACAAUUAUCAUCCGUUAAGUUAAUUUGGAUUAAACGUGAGUUAAAUAUCUAGCACAGUUAAAAAAAAAUUAAAAUGCCACUUUUGUUCUUAACUUAAGGGCAAAUAAGAAAUGUUGGUGAUGGUAGAAGAGUAUAUUUGAAAAGACCAAAAAGUAAAAUAUAUUUUGUAUCCCCUAACUUAAGAGCAAAUAAGAAAAGCCAGUAAUAUAUGGUAGAAGGAUAUAUUUUAUAGAGAUAAUAUAAUUCAUUAACAAAUUUUAAUUCUAGCGAUAUANUUUAUA
rnacentral:lncRNA from 1 species